rnacentral:rRNA from 1 species
UACGUAGGGUGCUAGCGUUGUCCGGAUUUAUUGGGCGUAAAGCGCGUGUAGGCGGCCAUGUAGGUCCGGUGUGAAAACUCGAGGCUUAACCUCGAGAUGUCAUCGGAAACCAUUUGGCUAGAGUCCGGAAGAGGAAAGUGGAAUUCCUGGUGUAGCGGUGAAAUGCGCAGAUAUCAGGAAGAACACCAACGGCGAAAGCAGCUUGCUGGGACGGUACUGACGCUGAGACGCGAAAGCGUGGGGAGCGAACAGG